rnacentral:snRNA from 1 species
GUCAGACUUAUUUACAUAUAUCU